UAGAUUGUGAUCCCGUGCUCAAAGUUUCCGAGAGCGCAGUUGAUACAUUUCCUCAUCCUGAAAUGCGUCGACUAAAUGAACUCCCUGGUGUGCAUAUAGAAACACGUAGGCAACACUCUCCCACGAAAUCUACUGACGGGUUUUGCAUGAGGCAAGUGAGGUACUCGCCUCGGUAAAAUUUUGAUGUUUAGUGUUUCACGAUUGACAAGUAUGAGAUUUUGUUGGAUUUAUCACCCAGUGGCUAGCUUUGCCUCGGUAAAAUUUUGAUUCUGACGACUACGGGCAUGUUUUGAACAUUGAGAUCAAUUUAUCUAGGAUAACCAAAGGGUUUGUAGAAGUAGGAAACAUCAAGUUCAAGAGAGGAGGGUGUAAAAGGCCUUCGAGUUAUUUGAACAUUAUUGUUUAUGUUAUAUUAGUCAAUUAUUCUUUUUUUUUUUUGUCGUAGAAGUUCCAUUGUUCAUUUGCCUUCGACACUUACACAGUGACCACUUUUAUGAAAGACGACGAGAUACAUAAUUUGGCAAUCGAGAAAGUCCUUUUAAUACCGUAUGCUCGUCCUUGUACCCAAGGCGCUGGUUUUUUGUUUGUUUCAUUGUUUUUAUUUUGUUGUUGUUGUUUUCUUGGGGAUAGGAGUAGGGUUCGCAUUGCAGGGAGUGGUCAAUAGAGAAGAGGCGUUUAUAUCAGAAUGGGCUAUCAUUUCAAACUCGCCGACAGGCUUCGUAUAAUUGCUCUUCCAAUUUUUGUCUGGGGGCUCUUAAAAUCGAGGAAGAAGCACACAUGACCCCACUUCUUCUCUCUAGACCAAUGUUGUUAAUAUUACUCGUCCCCUGCGCCUUUCUGUAUAUCAUUUUCUUGUUAUUCUCUUUCUUUUGUCUCUGUCAUUUAUUCUAUUUCAUGUUAUUUGCUAUUCGACUUUAGCAACCAAGAGCAUAAGUGACGCCAGAAAUAUGAAGCAUAAGAAAAAAAAAACACUUCUGCCACAACUUCAGUUUUCCUAAGGCAAGUGAUUUUAGCUGAAGUAAUAAGUCAGUGACGUACGGAGCUCCAUCAGCCCUGCAGGGUGCAAUGACGGAUCCCAGUGACGUCUUUACGACACGUUUUUACGGCACUUCACUGUACAAGGAAAGUAUCUGAGUGUUGGGUAAUCACACCAGCGUUUUGACGCCCACGUGCAAGGUGGUUUGGCUAUGCCCCUGCUUGUAGAUGAUCUAGUUUUUUUUCACGUUCACAACAUAUAAUUCAGUAAUAGGAUAUCCACAAAAAUUAUUGAUUUGGUCUUCAAAAUGUCUGAUACGUUUCUUUUGUAUUAUAGUCGAGGAUGCUUACAAAAAUGAUGAGAGAGGGAAAUGAUAUUGAUAGAGGCCAAAUCUGUUCGCCCAUGAAAACUUCCUGCGAUUUUCAAAAGCUAGCAGGCGUAAAGAAGUACGAGGUAAUAGCUCUUUUCAAAGCAGCUGAUCCACCGCCUCCCACACAUCAGGCGCACACAGGGACACUAGAGAUACAGAUACUAAAAGGUAUCGGUCGUUCAAACUGAAUUGCAGUAAGAAGAUAACAGGAACAAACUCUCAAUCAAGCAAUAUGAUCUCGCAAAAAAUGAGUUUCUGUUGCGUGGCUUUCGUGGUCUUCCUCUCAUGUGUUUCCGUGAAAGGACAGUUUACAGCAUGCAUGGGUAAUCUGGGGAAACGGUUGAUGGAUUUAAAGGAGGAAAGACCUGCCUUAGCGGUCUUAACUCGACGAAUAUCUUUCGAUAGUGGAUCCAAAUCAAGAGAGAACAGGCCAAACGGGUUAUCAUCCUCUACUCAACCGAGACGGUAUACAACCGAGGGCGAGAAACAAGCACGAAAAAUGGCGAAACGAAUUUAUUGACUAAUCUAUUAAGUACCCAUUGAUAUAAAAGCCAUAAUUUGUA